GUCCCAGAUGUUUAACUUGAACCUGAGGAGGACGACGACAACGGGAUGAGAAGACGAUGAAAAGAGAGGAGUUGAGGAAAGAUGAACGUGGUACCUUCAGGAGUUUGGAAAUUGCUCCCAAGAAUGAACCAGACUUGUGGAGGUCUACCAUUUUUUUUCUGAGGUCUUGGCUGAUUUAUUUUGAUUUUCCCAUGAUGUCAAGCAAAGAGGCACUGUGUUUGAAGGUAGGCCUUGAAAUACAUCCACAGUUUAACCUCUAAUUGACUCAAAUGAUGUCAAUUAGCCUAUCAGAAGCUUAUAAAGCCGUAACAUAAUUUUCUGGGAUUUUCCAAGCUGUUUAAAGGCACAGCCAACUUAGUGUAUGUAAACCUCUGACCCACUGGAAUUGUGAUACAGUGAAUUAUAAGUGAAAUAAUCUGUCUAUAAACAAUUGUUGGAAAAAUUACUUGUGUCAUGCACAAAGUAGAUGCCCUAACCUACUUGCCAAAACUAUAGUUUGUUAACAAGACAUUUGUGGAGUGGUUGAAAAACGGGUUUUAAUGACUCCAACCUAAGUGUAUGUAAACUUCCGACUUGCCAACUGUAAGUAGGCCUAUAUCUACAGCCUAUCCACGAUCCGUGUCAGCGAAAUUCCUCGCGUUGAUUGAAAUUAUGACUGUCUAAUCCUACCUCUAUAUGGUAUCAUAUCCCUAACAGUCUGUGUAUUAAACUUGGUGGAAUUGAAAUCCUAAUGAAAUGUGUUUUUGACCCUCCAAAAUUACCUGUUAAAUUGUGUAAGUUUCACAAAUGUUUUUUAUCUGGAAAAUGAUAUUUUUGAAUAAUAAUAAUUUAAAUGAUUUUGAAUAAUAAAGUUAUUAAAAUGA